UACCUGCAGCUCAAGUGGUGGCCGCUAUUAUUGGGCCUAAAACGUCCGUAGCCGGUUUAGUAAAUGCCUGGGUAAAUUGUGUAGCUCAACUAUACGAAUACCGGGUAGACUGCUAAACUUGGAACCGGGAGAGGCUAGAGGUACUCCUAGGGUAGAGGUGAAAUUCUGUAAUCCUAGGGGGACCACCAGUGGCGAAGGCGUCUAGCCAGAACGGGUUUGACGGUGAGGGACGAAGCCCUGGGGCGCAAACCGGAUUAGAUACCCCCGUA
rnacentral:rRNA from 1 species